UUUGGAAAAAAAUACACCCUGAACGCACCCGGUCUCGUCUGAUCUCGGAAGCUAAGCAGGGUCGGGCCUGGUUAGUACUUGGAUGGGAGACCACCUGGAAAUACCAUUGGAAAAAA
ensembl:rRNA 5S_rRNA 5S ribosomal RNA